AUUUAAGUAGCUAAAGUAAAUAGCGUAGUAUUGAAGAUACUAAGGUAGAUUUUUCUCUUAGAUA
rnacentral:tRNA from 1 species